AACGAACGCUGGCGGCAGGCCUAACACAUGCAAGUCGAACGCUCGUAGCAAUACGAGAGUGGCAGACGGGUGAGUAACGCGUGGGAACCUUCCCAGUGGUACGGAAUAGCUCAGGGAAACUUGAGGUAAUACCGUAUACGCCCUUCGGGGGGAGAUUUAUCGCCAUUGGAUGGGCCCGCGUCGGAUUAGCUAGUUGGUGGGGUAAUGGCUCACCAAGGCGACGAUUCGUAGUUGGGCUGAGAGGUUGAUCAGCCACACUGGGACUGAGACACGGCCCAGACUCCUACGGGAGGCAGCAGUGGGGAAUAUUGGACAAGGGGCGCAAGCCUGAUCCAGCCAUGCCGCGUGAGUGACGAAGGCCCUAGGGUUGUAAAGCUCUUUUGGCGGGGAAGAUAAUGACGGUACCCGCAGAAUAAGCUCCGGCUAACUUCGUGCCAGCAGCCGCCGUAACAC
rnacentral:rRNA from 1 species